UCGAAUCCCUUUUCUCUAGA
rnacentral:tRNA from 1 species